UGCCGGGUCGUCUAACGGCAGGACACAGCGCUCUGAACGCUGUUAUCAAGGUUCGAGUCCUUGCCCGGCAG
rnacentral:tRNA from 1 species